GUUUGGCUAGCUCAGUCAGUAGAGUAUGCGACUCUUAAUCCCAGCGUCGUGGGUUCGAGCCCCACGUUGGGCG
rnacentral:tRNA from 1 species